AUGACCGUGAUGCUUCGGGAUAUUUCUAUGAUCUCCGAUCUUCCUAUCGAGGGGAAUCCUCUUUUUAUGAGCACUGAUUCUGAUUGGUGGCGUGAGCAGAUGCAUGCCCUUAUCGGUAUGGUUCCUCUGGAGCCUCCGGAACCAGUAGUAGAAGACAAGAAGAAGGAAAGAGUCACAGACUAUGUUUGCUGA
rnacentral:rRNA from 1 species